rnacentral:rRNA from 1 species
GCUCCAAUAGCGUAUAUUAAAGUUGUUGCAGUUAAAAAGCUCGUAGUUGAACUUUGGCCUUGGUUGGGCGGUCUACUCGAAUGAGUAGUACUUCUCUGGCUGAGGCUUUCCUUCUGGCGAACUAUUGUGCCAUUCACUUGGUGCGAUAGGGAACCAGGACUUUUUACUUUGAAAAAAUUAGAGUGUUUAAAGCAGGCUUA